rnacentral:rRNA from 1 species
UACGUAGGGUGCAAGCGUUGUCCGGAAUUAUUGGGCGUAAAGAGCUCGUAGGCGGCUUGUCGCGCCGGCUGUGAAAACCUGGGGCUCAACCCCGGGCCUGCAGCCGAUACGGGCAAGCUAGAAUUCGGUAGGGGAGACUGGAAUUCCUGGUGUAGCGGUGAAAUGCGCAGAUAUCAGGAGGAACACCGGUGGCGAAGGCGGGUCUCUGGGCCGAUAUUGACGCUGAGGAGCGAAAGCGUGGGGAGCGAACAGG